ensembl:lncRNA
CUAACCUUGUUUUGCUUCCGGGUGCCCAUCAGUUUGUAUGGUGGCGUGGGAUUGCAAAUUGCACUACUUGGACUAAUGCUGUUACCGAAGCACGAGUGGUUCAUUGUCGCGACAAAGCCGGUGUAGCGGUUGCUCUGACGCCGGGUGCUCGGUGGGAAUCAGCUGGAGCUCCGUCCAUGACUCGCUGUCCCUGAGUGUGCAGUCAUUGCAGCUCGGCACGUUGAGCGGAGGGCCAUCCACUGCCUCCGCCCGGGAAGGGCUGCUGUUCUGUUUUACUGUCAAAUGCAUGUUUAUAAUUGACCGGCAUGCUCAUGUUUGCUAAGGUAACCCAGGGUACUGUGACAAAGCCUGCUACUCCCCGCUGACCGUCGGAGGUCCACCCCGUCCUAAGUCCCUCCGCCAAAGCUAAGUAGCCUCAGUAGGAUAGCCAGACUAUUAAAUCCUCUCCUUGCAUCUUUACUGUCAAGUGUUUUGCUAACCCCAGUGCCUUUAUCUCUCUCCCUGGACAGGUGCAGUGGGUUUCACUUGAGCGACAGGCUGACCCCCAGGUGGUGGAGCCCCCCCCUCACUUUUCCUUGCUGUGUGCAUAACGGUUGCCCUAUUUUGGAGUGCAGUGCUUACUGGUUUUAUGCACGUGUGGUGUGUGUCUUCUGGGCCUCUCCUGUCCCCCUCUUGGAAAGUCCUGCUCGCUGCGGUAAGCCACUGCCCUGCUCCACCUUUGAGUCCUGACCACUGGCCCAUCUCCGUAAGGCUUUGGCCAUCUCACCUGCUCAUAUUCGGGUCAUAGCCCACUGGCCUAACAUUGUACGUGUCUACUGUGUGUGUUUAGUGUAUGUGUGUAUACUGGAAAUAACUCUGUUUGGUUGUUGUGUGAGAGGCAACAGCCUGUACUAGAAUUGCCC